rnacentral:misc_RNA from 1 species
GAUGAAGAACGUAGCGAAAUGCGAUAAGUAAUGUGAAUUGCAGAAUUCAGUGAAUCAUCGAAUCUUUGAACGCACCUUGCGCUCCUUGGUAUUCCUUGGAGCAUGCCUGUUUGAGUAUCAUGAAAUUAUCAAAGCAAGUCUUUUGUUAAGUCAAUUGACUUUUUGCUUUGGAUUUGGAGGUCUUUGCAGAUUCACUUCUGCUCCUCUUAAAUGCAUUAGCUGGAUCUCAGUAUAUGCUCGGUUCCACUCGGCGUGAUAAGUAUCACUCGCUGAGGACACUUUUGUAAAAAAAAAGGUGGCCGGGAAAUACAGAUGAACCGCUUCUAAUAGUCUAUUGAGUUAGACAAUUAAUUUUAAGAUCUGAUCUCAAAUCAGGUAGGACUACCCGCUGAACUUAAGCAUAUCAAUAAGCGGAGGA